rnacentral:lncRNA from 1 species
CAAAUAAUUAAAAAAAAUUUGAUAAAUACUACUUGCACUUAACAUCCAAAAUGUGAAUUUAAUAUUACAUCAUUCAAUCUAAGAGUGUAUUUGGUUCGUCUUUUUUUCAUCCUGAAAUUAAAAUCAGAAUCGAUGAAUCCGUUUGGGGGUGUUGGUAUGCGAGAAUCUCAUUCCGAUUCAGAUUCCUAGAUGAAAUGGGAAUCUCCAAAUCACUUCUUUUUCUAAUCAUGCCUAGAACGUCGGAUUAGAAAUUAAAUCCAGACGGAAAAAAUACACUUUCUAAAUGUAUCUCAAUUAUAUUUUAUAUUUUUAUUUAAAAUUAAAUUUAUUUUUUUUACAUUAAUUUUAAAUUAUAUUAUUUAGAAAUUAAAUAUUUUGUAAUAUAACGAACCUUAGCAAAUUCACAAGGUUACAGUAUAAGUUAUCCUUGAUUGAGUUGGAAACGUUUUGUGCAAAAUAGACGUAAAAACGGACUUUGAAACUCAAGAUUUAUAUUGUAGAGGACUAAAGUUGAAAGCUGUAGUAGGUGAGGGG